GAGAGUCUGACGAGCACGCCGCGUGAGUGAAGAAGGUUUUCGGAUCGUAAAACUCUGUUGUUAGAGAAGAACAAGGAUGAGAGUAACUGUUCAUCCCUUGACGGUAUCUAACCAGAAAGCCACGGCUAACUACGUGCCAGCAGCCGCGGUAAUACGUAGGUGGCAAGCGUUGUCCGGAUUUAUUGGGCGUAAAGCGAGCGCAGGCGGUUUCUUAAGUCUGAUGUGAAAGCCCCCGGCUCAACCGGGGAGGGUCAUUGGAAACUGGGAGACUUGAGUGCAGAAGAGGAGAGUGGAAUUCCAUGUGUAGCGGUGAAAUGCGUAGAUAUAUGGAGGAACACCAGUGGCGAAGGCGGCUCUCUGGUCUGUAACUGACGCUGAGGCUCGAAAGCGUGGGGAGCAAACAGGAUUAGAUACC
rnacentral:rRNA from 1 species